GACUUUCGGCAAUGGAUAUCUCGGCUCUCGAAUCGAUGAAGAACGUAGCAAAAUGCCAUACUUGGUGUGAAUUGCAGAAUCCCGUCAACCAUCGAGUCUUUGAAUGCAAGUUGCGCCCCAAGCCUUCUGGCCGAGGGCACGUCUGCUUGGGUGUUA
rnacentral:rRNA from 1 species